AUCUUGUCUAAAAAUGACUUACUAGACUCUAUGGUCAUGCUGACAAACCGAACCAGGCGGGUCCAGAUGAUGGCCAACAGGGACUCUGCAGGUAGAAAACACCAGGUCCUCGUGAGGACGACGUUGAAGGUGAGAUGAUGACCUGCAGAGUGUGACCCACCCAGACUCAGGACCAGUUUGUUCUUCGCUGCACAUGCAACAACCUCCGGGCCCACCAGGUAGUGCAGCAGCAUCUCCAGGCCCAGCAGCUGGAUGGAGGGAAAGGUGGAGGCAGCCGGCAUGCUGGAGCCCAGACUCAUCCGGGGGGUGAUGGCCAGGCUGGUGAAGGUGGAGUUUCCUGACGAAGAAAGAGCAGGCUUCAAGGUUCCACAUCUACACGCCGGAGCGUCUCUGCAGGCUGGUCCUGAUGACAUUCAGACGAGCUGAUGGACA